CGCCUCUCUCUCUAUCUCUAUCUCUCGACUCUCUCUCUCCCUACUCUCUCUGCUCUCUCUCUUUACUCUCUCUGCUCUCUCUCUUCGUUCGGCUGAGGGCGGCGCCGCCUCCGGCGCGCCGCCUCGCCGUCGCCUCCUCCCCUCCUCUCCUUCGGCCACCGCGACCAGCCACCAGGUGUCGCCACCCUCGACUCCCUCGCUCCCUCGGCCGCUGGAACCAGGCGCAGCAGCGCAAGCACGCCGCCGCUCCGUCGCCUCCGCCUCUCCUCCAUGGCAGAUCCGCCGCCGCCGUUCAACGCCACGACCACCCCUUGUUCUCCCUCUAACCUCAAGAAACGAACACUGUUCAUCAUCUCUCUCUCUUGCUCGAUCCAGCCGUCGCCGCCACGGAUUUCGCCGGAGGAGCAGCGGCGAUAGGCCGCGCCACCCUCGGCUCUCUCGCCUCUCUCUCUGGAUCGACGGGUAGCCUAAGAUCGGAGACCACCUCGGCUCCGUCGCCGACCGUCGACCGCCGGCAGCCACCGCGGCUGCCGUCCCCUCUGAUUUCGACUCACACACACAGUAGGUUCAAGCCACAAUUUAGUUCACAAAAUAGCAUAGGAUUUUGAGCAGAAAUCAAAUACUGUAAAUGCUUAUUGAAAUCUGAAAUUCUUUUCUUGAAACUGAACUAGUCUAUAAAUUUCAGUUCAUAUGUGCA